AAUUGGAGGCCAGUGAAAGGCAACACGAGGAACACCUAUACUUUAUAUGUCAAAAAAACUUUUCUUCUAAGUGAAAAGCCUUAGAUACUAAAAGAAGACGAAAAGACCCCGCGGAACUUUACCUUUUCCCUACACUUGUUAUACCUUACACAAACAUAUGUAUCAAGGUUUGAUUGGGGCAAUCUCGGAACCACCCAAACUUCCGAUUUUAUAUUUUAACUGAUCAAAAAUUUGUUUCAGACCAAAAAGGAGUUACCCCGGGGAUAACAGCGUUAUCCAACUUAAGAGUACACAUCGAAAGUUGGGUUUGCGACCUCGAUGUUGGCUUAAGGACAUCCACAUAAGUGCAGCCGCUAUGAAUGGAUAGUCUGUUCGACUAUUAUAACCUUA
rnacentral:rRNA from 1 species